AUGGCGCGGCUGGUGGCACCGCCGCCUCGGCAGGUGAUGGCUGCUGCCAUUGAGUCUGCAAGCUUUGAGGAGGAACAGCUUCCUAAUAAGAGAGAAAGUAUGAUCUGGAAGCCCAGAAAAGAAUGUUUGCUGAAGAACAUUCCAAAUGUCCUUGAUAGUGAGCCUGAAGAAAGUGAAUUCUCUGAUAUCUCUCAAAAUGAGAAUGAUGUUAGUGGCUCUCCUGUUGACUGUGUCCGUAUACAUUCUGACCUGGAAGACUUAGAUGAUGAUGUCUCCGGUAUGCCUGAGGCUGUAACUUUUCUAGAGCUGCAGACUGCUUCUGUGUACAAAAUAGAGGAGGACUGGGAUAAAGAACUGGAGGAAUCUGAAUGUAAUCCUUAUGAUGCUGGUGAUCUCUACUGUGGAAGCUUUCAGGAAAAUAAUCUUUUGACCUCAUACUCAUGGCGAGAGGAUUUGUUUUACAACCCCAGCUGUCACCAUGCAGCUUGCGUUGCUUUUACACCACCAGUUAGAAUGACUGAGCCUGGCCAGUUUGAUGAUGCUGAUGAAUGAGGUUGACCCUGGUCAGAACUAAGUUUGGCUUCUGAGUUGGAUUAUGUUCUUCACUGGUUGAAUCGUUUCAAGUCCUUUGGCUUGCUUGCAGACUUCUGCAUAAGGCCAGAAACGCUACACCAUCUCCCAAGUUUUGCUUAGACCACUACUGAGCUGCUUAUAAAUUGACCAUGUUUGACCUCUGGAAAUGAGAGUGCAGGUGCUAGCUGUAAGGAGUCAAUACAUUUCUGGACUUUUUGUUUCUAUUAUAUAGAUUUAUAUUGUUGCUAACGAAUUGCUUGAGAGGAAGUAUUUAACUUCUAAACUUCAGCUUGUUUGCCAAGCUUUGCCGGUUUUGACAUGCUGAUCCUUGUGUGUCUAUGUCAUUUUUAGUUUUCUUUCCUUUUCAUUUGAUGCUGUCAAAUUGGUUCACAAAGCUUUAAAAACUCUUCUUCCUUCCAGCUUCUCUGUUGUAUUUCUAUGUUGCAGUUUGUGAUUCCAGAUCUAAUACUGGUGUUUAACAAAAUUAGCCAUGACAAAUACGGAAUGAGUGGUUGUGUUUUCAUUUUAUGUUUCAGUAUAAGGGGAUUACAAAUACGUGAUACACAUUUUGCAAAUACAGACGUGGACAUACGCUAGGGCCUGCUGCAUCCAAUGACAACGCUGAGUGCUUAAAACUCUCUCCUAGCAAAGGUUUCUUCAUAUCUGACUUUCUUGUAUUUGGGCAUAGAAUCAUAGAAUCAUUGAGGUUGGAAGAGACCCUUGGGAUCAUCGAGUCCAACCAUCUCCCCUACUCUACAAAGUCCUCCCCUACACCAUGUCCCUCAGCACUGCAUCUAAAUGGCCCUUAAACACAGCCAGGGAUGGGGACUCCACCCCCUCCCUGGGCAGCCUGUUCCAAUGCCCGACCACUCUUUCAGUGAAAAAUUCCUUCCUAAUGUUCAAUCUAAACCUCCCCUGUUGGAGCUUGAAGCCGGCAUAUUAUCCUUCAGUCUCACAGUUGGCUUUGUAAUGUUCUCAU
rnacentral:lncRNA from 1 species